GAAGGUCACGGCGAGACGAGCCGUUUAUCAUUACGAUAGGUGUCAAGUGGAAGUGCAGUGAUGUAUGCAGCUGAGGCAUCCUAACAGACCGGUAGACUUGAACCUUGUUCCUACAUGACCCGAUCAAUUCGAUCAGGCACUCGCCGUCUAUUUUCAUUGUUCAACUCUUUGACAACACGAAAAAACCAUUGUUCAACUCUUUGACAACAUGAAAAAACCAAAAGC
rnacentral:rRNA from 1 species